rnacentral:rRNA from 1 species
AUGUUUGUUGUCGUUGUGCUUCUGUUCUGUCAACUGAGCGUGAUAAAUUCUCUCUGUUUGCAGCUUUCUCUCUUUUUUUCAAUCUUUGCUCAUAUGGACACAUCCUCUGCUAGCUCUUUAAUUCCAUUUAACUUAGAGCCUGUUCGGCAACACUCCACUCCUCUAAUUUCUCAACUCCACUCCUUACUUCUCAACUCCCAACUCUACUUGCAUAUUUUAGAAUUUUGCAAAACGUUCGGCACCCAACUCCAGCUCUUCUACGUGUGCGCAUGGAGAAAAGGAAUCGGGGCAAGCGGGGAGUACGAGAGAUUUGUGGGGUUCUGUUUCCUAUUUUUUUUCUCGAACCGGUAA